rnacentral:rRNA from 1 species
UACGUAGGGCGCAAGCGUUGUCCGGAAUUAUUGGGCGUAAAGAGCUCGUAGGCGGUUUGUCGCGUCUGUCGUGAAAGCCCACGGCUUAACCGUGGGUCUGCGGUGGAUACGGGCAGACUAGAGGCAGGUAGGGGAGAAUGGAAUUCCCGGUGUAGCGGCGAAAUGCGCAGAUAUCGGGAGGAACACCGGUGGCGAAGGCGGUUCUCUGGGCCUGUACUGACGCUGAGGAGCGAAAGCGUGGGGAGCGAACAGG